rnacentral:lncRNA from 1 species
AAUUGUAACAAAGAAACAAGAACAACAGUAGACUCUCUCUCUCUCUCUCUCUUUUAUAUAAAAAUAUAUGUCUGUAAUUUGUAUAGAAACCCUCAACCUACCCUCAAACCCCACCUUAAGGUCUCAAUCAACCCCAAGAAAACCUUUCCUAUAUAUAUACACAUUGUCCCCCUCAACCUUGUUAAAUGACAAAAUUGUAACGAAGAAACAAGAACAGCAGUAGAGACUCUCUCUCUCUCUCUCUCUGUUGUUUUAUUUUUAGUUGUAAAGUCAGUGAUCAGAAGAUAUAGGUAAUAAAAGUAAGAUUAUGGAGGAUAAUAAUAAGAAGAAAAAUGGUUCUUUUCGAUCGAUUUUUAUACAUGCGGAUAGUUACGACGCUGUGUUGAUGAGUUUUGGGAUCUUGGGAGCAAUUGGUGAUGGAAUUUCCGUACAAGCUAUGCUUUUAAUGACCAGCAAACUCAUGAACAGUUUUGGCAGUGCAACCAAUUCGAUAACACAGAAUUUCAUUCAUAACACCAACGAGGUUUG